rnacentral:rRNA from 1 species
UAUAACUUAGUGGCAGACGGGUGAGUAAUGUAUAGGAAUCUACCUAGUAGUACGGAAUAAUUGUUGGAAACGGCAACUAAUACCGUAUACGCCCUACGGGGGAAAAAUUUAUUGCUAUUAGAUGAGCCUAUAUUAGAUUAGUUAGUUGGUGAGGUAAAGGCUUACCAAGACAAUGAUCUAUAGCUGAUCUGAGAGGAUGAUCAGCCACACUGGAACUGAGAUACGGUCCAGACUCCUACGGGAGGCAGCAGUGGGGAAUAUUGGACAAUGGGCGAAAGCCUGAUCCAGCCAUGCCGCAUGAGUGAAGAAGGCCUUCGGGUUGUAAAGCUCUUUUAGUGAGGAAGAUAAUGACGGUACUCACAGAAGAAGUCCUGGCUAACUCCGUGCCAGCAGCCGCGGUAAUACGGAGAGGGCUAGCGUUAUUCGGAAUCAUUGGGCGUAAAGGGCGCGUAGGCGGGUUAGUAAGUUAAAAGUGAAAUCCCAAGGCUCAACCUUGGAACUGCUUUUAAAACUGCUAGUCUAGAGAUUGAAAGAGGAUAGAGGAAUUUCUAGUGUAGAGGUGAAAUUCGUAAAUAUUAGGAGGAAUACCAGUGGCGAAGGCGUCUAUCUGGUUCAAAUCUGACGCUGAGGCGCGAAGGCGUGGGGAGCAAACAGGAUUAGAUACCCUGGUAGUCCACGCUGUAAACGAUGAAUGUUAAAUAUGGGAAGUUUACUUUCUGUAUUAUAGCUAACGCGUUAAACAUUCCGCCUGGGGACUACGGUCGCAAGAUUAAAACUCAAAGGAAUUGACGGGGACCCGCACAAGCGGUGGAGCAUGUGGAUUAAUUCGAU